AUGCCAAACCACAGUGGGAGUUUAGAGAAGACUGUGAUGAGAGUUGGAGCAUUCUUGGGGAGUCUUUGCUGCAGAGAUGGGACUUUAUGCAUCAGUACAUUCUUAAAGUGUCUACGCUGCCCCGGGAUGCUGAGCCCCUGGACACCACAGGUGGCAUUUCAGCUAUGAGUGAGGGGGGGCAUUUGGAAGGGGAGCCCCGAAGGGGAAGACAAUGGCUCAGAGAGAAUGAAGUCAGCACUUCCCAGCCUCUGUGUGCUGCGGUCCAAGGCUUCGGCCGGGAGCACUGCAGAGCAAAAGUUCUGAGAGCCACGGCUCAGGCUUAACUGGCCAGAGCGAGCUUGGCAGCUGCUCUCGUCCCAGCAGGCUUUGCUCUCUGAGGCAGUCAUUCCCACCACACAAAGGCAGUUCUGUGCCUCCCAAAGGUGCUUGGGGCAGGAAUGAAGAGCGGAACAGCCCCCAUCAAUCCAAUAGGAUUGUCGUUUUACGCUGGCGUGGAGCCUCAGACAUCAAAAGGGCUGGAGAGUGAAGCCACGUGUGAGCCGUGAAGUUGGUGACCCUGAGGCACAGAAAGCUGAGGGAAUUUGUUCGAAGUCACACAGCUGAUCACCUUCACAUACCACCUCCUCCAGGAAGCAUGACCUGAUUGACCCUCAGUUGUGUGUGAACUUUCUUCCUUUCAACCCCCAUGGUGGUCCCAGUCAGAGACUGAUUUCCCUGAGGUUGCCAGAAAGCAAGAUACUAGCAGCAAGAAGAUCCCAACCCUGGGUGCCCUCCCUCCAACCCACAUCUCGCCAGUUGCUGCUAUUGGAGCGUCAGGAAUCCUGGCUGAAUAGUUUCUCUGUCUCACAUGGCAUUCAUGGAAGCAUUCACUGGUGUUCACUGGACCAUGCAGAUCUGGACAGCAUGUGGUGGCUGCAUUUUUGUGUCUGUUUCCUUGUUGAGCAUGGCUGGAAAGUGAGAUCAGCUAGAACCAUUGACCAAAGUGCUUAUGCAUGGGUUUUUCAGCAUGGUGACCUCAAGGUGGUCAGAGCUUUUAAAUGGGAGCUCGGAGCUCCCAGAGUGAAAAUUCCAAGAGACGCAGGAGGCAAUGGGAAGAUCCUGAUGCUAACUUCGGCUCUCCUGUUAGCCCACUGUGUGUACAUGAGGGAACCUCUUUAAAUCUCCACACCUCAGAACUUCUGCAGUGAUGGAUGUGUUCCACGGUUGUCAAAGUGUGGUCCCCAAACCAGCAGCAUCAACUUCACCUGAAAAUGUGUUAGAAUAGUCAAUUAUCAGGCCCCACCUCACAACCAUUGAAUCAAACAUCUUGGGUGGGACCCAGCAAUUUGUAUUUAACCAAGCCCAUAAGGUGAUUCUGAUGUGUGUAAGGGUUAAAGAAGCCCUGGGGUUGGUUCCUUUCAGCCGACUUUCUGUGAUUCUAACUACAGAAGCACCCUUUCAUGCCACAUGACCAGAACUAAUAGCCAAUUAAUUGAAAAAAUUAAUUAAAAUUAAGAAAUGCUACUUACAUUUGUGAAACUUUUAAUUUUAACGAAAGGAAGUCAAUCUUUCGAUGUAGGGUCAAGGCCUUUCUUUGAGUGUGAGUCUGCUGGUUGGAUUUCUAUGACAGCUUUUUUGCAUAACCCAUAUCUUUAAUGCAUGAUCUAAGAUUUUUAGGUUUUUACAAGCAGAGUAAGAACUAAAGACUUUACAAAGGAAUCUGAACAGUUCAUCUGAGUGACUCAUCUUUCUUGACUAUUUCUGAAUAUCUGACUUGGUUUACAUAACAAUGCAUUUGUAAUAUUUAAUUACAUUAAAUCAUUGCAAUGACAAUAAUUACUGGAAUAAACAAGUUUGGGAACAAAGUCAACUGAUGGAAACAGAAGGCUUGGGACACUGGGUGGUUUUCUACUCAUCACAAGCAUCACUUGGCCAUGGAUGUCAACUGUUUUAAGGACAGCAGGGAGAAUACUGGUAUAUGUGGAGAGUUGGUUGAGUGGACAUUGAGUAAGAGAGCUUCUCCUGCACUGCUGGUUCUUCCUAACCAGAAUUCUUGUCUUCUUCCCUCUUUUUUAUUGCAUCCUUGACACAUGUUUAAUUCAAGCCCUUUUCACCUAACCCUGAACUAUUACAAAAGCACACUAUGUGGUCUCAUCGUCUCCACACUUACCUCCUGGUGUCUGCAUAAAUUCAUGCUUACAAAAGCCAUGCCAUUCCCAUUCUCAGCAGGGUAGAAUGAAAAGAACACUGGAUUUAGAAGCUAAGGACCUGAUUGGGUCUUAAUCUACUAUUUCUAGUUGUGUGCCAUUGGAUAACUCAGUCAACUUCUCCAAGCUCUUUCCCUCAAGCAAAGAUAGAGCAACUAGUGCUACACACACUUCAGAGGGGAUCUUGAAGAUCAAGAGGACUUAAAUAGGUGAAAAUGUUUUGAAACCUGAAUAGAACUCUACAAUUCUAAGUUGUUUCUUUCCUUACUGUGUGAUAACGCUCAGUCUUUUCAGCCUAGCACCCAACAAUCUAGUUCUAGCUUAUCUUCUCAGCUUCUUUCUCAAAGAUCCUAGAAGUGUACUUCUCACCCUAGCAAGACUGUUCUACUCAAGCUCCCAUGCACAGACCUAAGUUUUCUUUUCCUUUUUUAUUAUAAUUUAAGUUUUAGGGUACAUGUGCACAACGUGCAGGUUAGUUACAUAUGUAUACAUGUGCCAUGUUGGUGUGCUGCACCCAUUAACUCGUCAUUUAACAUUAGGUAUAUCUCCUAUUGCUAUCCCUCCCCUCUCCCCCCACCCCACAACAGGCACCAGUGUGUGAUGUUCCCCUUCCUGUGUCCAUGUGUUCUCAUUGUUCAAUUCCCACCUAUGAAUGAGAACAUGCGGUGUUUGGUUUUUUGUCCUUGCGAUAGUUUGCUGAGAAUAAUGGUUUCCAGCUUCAUCCAUGUCCCUAAAAAGGACAUGAACUCAUCAUUUUUUAUGGCUGCAUAGUAUUCCAGGAUUGUAAAUCAUGCUGCUAUAAAGACACAUGCACACGUAUAUUUAUUGUGGCACUAUUCACAAUAGCAAAGACUUGGAACCAAGCCAAAUGUCCAACAAUGAUAGACUGGAUUAAGAAAAUGUGGCACAUAUGCACAGACCUAAGUUUUCUAUGUCUAUGCCUUUGGCCACUGUCCCCUAAAAUGUCUUUUUCCUUUUCUAUAACUGGGUUGGUCUACCUCCAUUUGCGUGGACGUUUCCAUGAGACACAGACUCACAAAGAUUGGGCAGAAUACAAGUAAGUCAAAGCAAGCUACCUCCUGGCCUCUGAAGACCAAGUGGAGAAGAAAACAGGUUUCUAACCAAAGAAGAAAGUUCUGAGUUAUAAUUUCUCAGCACUCUAGGCAAGGUGCAGCACACCUUGACAGUUAGAGAAGAGUAUUUCAUCUUGAAAACCUGCAGCUCACCAGUGAAGUAACAUCCUUUCUUGUUUCAUUGGACGAGACGGCACACUUGUCAGUGGAACUUAGAAGAUGCAGCAGUAACAACAUAAACUAGGUAUAUGCCGAACCCUAUCAGGUCAUCUAUUCUGUAGUCAUCUGGUGGUUGGGAUUAUUCUUAGUGAGACAAGCUAGGCAUCAAAAGGCUGAACAGCUCAAAUACCAAGUAAGACUCAAAUCCUUUUCCUAUGUAUAUAUUAAAAGCUGGUCACACUCUUAGACUUUAAACAUGGCACUGAAAUCUAGGAUUCCAUUCGGGUGCAAGCAACAGAAAACCUAAGAGAGGCCUUCGUAAAUAAGGGGUCAAUUUAUGCAGUGCGACAUGAGCUUUGGAAAUAGGUGGUCCUCACGUGCAGCUGCUCAAAUAGGCCACUGAAGGCUCAGACCCCUUCUCUCUCUUCCUGCUUCAUCAUCUUUCAUAUCUUUAGCUUUUAUUUUCCAUUGCAGGGUGGCUGCUGUGCCUUCAGGCAUCGGAUCACGUUCCAGGUGGUAAGAAGGGAGAGGGCAAAUUGGCAGAGCAGAUGACACUGAGCCUGUUCCUUUCCUUGAAGCGGGCUAUGUUUACCCAUAGUUCAUAUCUGGCAUCUUUUAUAAUUGGUGGUUAUUUAUUUAUUUUUAAUAUUACCCUUGCUUAAAAGCCCCACCUGCUAACUUCUGCUUUAUCUCAUCAUCUAGUUCUGGGUUACAUAGACACCCUUGCCUGGGAUAGAGUUGGAAAUUGAGUGUUUUUACUUGGGUGCACUGCCACCCUCAAACAGGUUUGAGAUUCUGUCAAAGAGAAGACAACAACAGAUACUGAGCAGGCAAUUAAUCGUCUGCCAUAAUGCUUAAUUCAAACUUGUGUAUUAUUCUAAAUUGCACCACUUGGCUUUAUAUUUAAAG
rnacentral:lncRNA from 1 species